GUGAGUUCCUUGCCCCGUCUCGAACCUACUGUGGUGUUUGUCUUCACUCGCGCCUGCGGUGAAAAAGCGAUGCUUCGGGGCUGGCAGUACCUCUGCAGUCCCACCAGAUGGCGACUGUUGGAAGGAUGCCGAGCAGGAUGAGACAGGAAGAACUCCGUCAAAGGGGUCAGGGCUUCCUUUCUGGAGGACACGUCCGGAACAAUGUGCCUGCGAGGAGGUACUUCUCUGCUGCAAAGGGUUUUUGGGCCUCGGAUACAAAAAGGACCUCCGCAUUAGGAGCAGGCACCGAGUGCAUAUAGGAGACUGUACUGACCAAGUGCCUCGGCAGACCUUCGGGCUACCACAGGUACCUAGACGACAUUCGGGGACUCUGGAUGAGGAGCCGGGACGAAUUCGAACGCUUUGUACAGGAGUGCUUCCUACGGUAUGCCGGGAUUUCCUUGCCCCGUCUCGGACCUACUGUGGGGUUUAUCUACACUCGCGCCUGCGGUGAAAAAGCGAUGCUUCGGGGCUGGUAGUACCUCUGCAGACCCACCAGAUGGCGACUGUGCGAAGGAUUCCGAGCAGGACGAGAGAGGAAGAACUACGUCAGGUGGUGCACCACGGGCCCGUCUCGCCUGCAGCGUCGGGGAGGUGGAGCCUGAGCGCGUGCGAGCACACAAACCGAGAAACAGGAUGUUUACGUGUGGUGGGGCGGCGGGGGUGGCUACGCUACCACCAGUGAGUGAUUUCUCAUUUCUGUCAGUGUAAUAAAGAGGAAAAAACAACACCCCCUCAACAGACAAACAGCAUUACUCCCUCCUGCUUUGCUGAGCCAGAUGGUGGCGCCUUCAGCCCUUUUACCUUUGGCAGUCCGGCUAUCCCUGGAAUUUGAACAAAUUUUCUUUUGCAAAAAUAAACAGCGUCCAGCCUCCGUAACGUGUACAAGUAUCUUUUGCUUUCACUCUGGCUUCCGCCUUGUCGCUUGCUAAAUCGGCUGUUUGUCCUUUAAGUGAAGAGACCGGCCUUGCAGGCAUCAUCACCCUGUUUAGACAUGGCUCCGGCGGCUGACGCUCCGACGGACAUUUGGAGCCAACGGUGAAGCGCAUUCGUGCUUUGUGUGAGUAAAAAAGAAACUUUUGUGAUGUGUUAAGAAAAAAAAAAAAAAAAAAUCCCGAGCUUCCUUCCGUGACUCUGGGGCUUUUCCUAAAGCUUUAAAAAAAAAAGAAGAAGAAAGAAUAAAAAAGAUGA